GAUGAACGCUGGCGGCGUGCCUAAUACAUGCAAGUCGAGCGAACAGAUGAGGAGCUUGCUCCUCUGACGUUAGCGGCGGACGGGUGAGUAACACGUGGAUAACCUACCUAUAAGACUGGGAUAACUUCGGGAAACCGGAGCUAAUACCGGAUAAUAUAUUGAACCGCGUGGUUCAAUAGUGAAAGACGGUUUUGCUGUCACUUAUAGAUGGAUCCGCGCCGCAUUAGCUAGUUGGUAAGGUAACGGCUUACCAAGGCAACGAUGCGUAGCCGACCUGAGAGGGUGAUCGGCCACACUGGAACUGAGACACGGUCCAGACUCCUACGGGAGGCAGCAGUAGGGAAUCUUCCGCAAUGGGCGAAAGCCUGACGGAGCAACGCCGCGUGAGUGAUGAAGGUCUUCGGAUCGUAAAACUCUGUUAUUAGGGAAGAACAAAUGUGUAAGUAACUAUGCACGUCUUGACGGUACCUAAUCAGAAAGCCACGGCUAACUACGUG
rnacentral:rRNA from 1 species